CCCAAAACAUUAAAAUAAAAAAUAAAUAAUAAAAAAAAAGGAAAAAUGUGAGACUCUCUCACUGGCAAAAAAGUCUGAAGAAACCUUUGUUUUCAUCGAUGAUAUAAGAAAACUCUAAAAUAGAAAACCUCGCUGGUCAAAUCGAAUCGAUCCACAUCGCAGGGGGAGAGAGACGAGAGACGACGCCAUAAGCAGAUUCUUCGCUCUGUUUUUUUUUUUUUUGUUUCUCUGAUA